rnacentral:rRNA from 1 species
GUAAGGAAUAUUGGUCAAUGGAGGCAACUCUGAACCAGCCAUGCCGCGUGUGUGAAGAAGGCCUUUUGGUUGUAAAGCACUUUAAGCGAGGAGGAGGCUACCGAGAUUAAUACUCUUGGAUAGUGGACGUUACUCGCAGAAUAAGCACCGGCUAACUCUGUGCCAGCAGCCGCGGUAAUACAGAGGGUGCAAGCGUUAAUCGGAUUUACUGGGCGUAAAGCGCGCGUAGGUGGCCAAUUAAGUCAAAUGUGAAAUCCCCGAGCUUAACUUGGGAAUUGCAUUCGAUACUGGUUGGCUAGAGUAUGGGAGAGGAUGGUAGAAUUCCAGGUGUAGCGGUGAAAUGCGUAGAGAUCUGGAGGAAUACCGAUGGCGAAGGCAGCCAUCUGGCCUAAUACUGACGCUGAGGUACGAAAGCAUGGGGAGCAAACAGGAUUAGAAACCCGAGUAGUCC